GUGCUCACUUUGGUAGCACAUAUACUAAAAUUGGAAUAAUACAAAGAAGAUUAGCGUGAUCCCUGUGCAAGGAUGACACAAAAAUUUGUGAAGCAUUCCAUAUUUUU
rnacentral:snRNA from 1 species